AACAUAAACUCUCCCAUUCACUCUCUCAUUUCCGUUCAAGCUAAAGAACAAAGGGGGAAAGUACAGAAAAACCCUAAGGAGAAAAAAUUCAAGAGAAAUUCAUUGGAUUUUCGAAAAAACGAAGCGAUCGGAGGUAAGAUUUUGCGAUUUAGCUUAAGAUCUACCUUACCCAUCUUUCUUUUUCAUUUUCUAUGGUUGAAACUCAAGUUUUUAUGAUGGAAGCAUGCUGGCCGAAUCAAGGGGGGAAGGUUUUGAUGAUGGUUUUUGAUAGAUUUUAGGCUAUUUAAGUGUUUUUAGUGUUUUGUGAUAUUCGGUAUGACAAGUAAGAAAACAACAUGUUGUUCUUCAUCAAACCCUAAUUGGCUGAAUUCUAUAAGGAAUAUUUUGAAGAUGAAUUUUGUCAUAUUUCAUGUUAUCUAGCUCGUAUUUGAUGAUUCGUGAUGUCGGAUAUCGAAAACGAUUUUCAAAAAGUAUAGUUCCUUUAUUAAACGACUUGAACAAUAAUGAGAAAAUUAUAGUAAAUGGACUUAGAAUUGAUUUCUAAUGAGGUAUACGAACUUAUUGGAUUACCGAAAGUGCAAUGAAUCUAUUUGGAAUUGAAUUGGAUGUUUUGGCUAAUUAAACAGUGUAUAGUGUGAGUUAGGUCGAAUACCAUUUCAGUCCAACAAUAAUUGAACCUACGUAGAACACCAUCUUUAAGUGAUUAUUCGAACAUUUCUCAUUCAAUUUCAUACAUUCAUAAAGAGCCUGAAAUAGUUUUAUAACAGUUUGGCACAAAUAUAUUGAAUUACUUGUUAUGUAUUAUGUAUAGGUGGUGAGCCCUCUGGUAAGGGUAAGGAUAUCGUACUUGAGGACCAGGAGUAGGAGUACUCCUGUUAUUAUGAGUAAACAGAUGAUCAUCUUAACUAUCUAAAGUUGUUUCUACUCGUUUUUAUGUUUUAAAGAAUAAUGAUUUUAAAUGGUAAAUUAUUAUGUUUUAAAAUUGAAGUGUUGGUUAAACGAAAUGAGAUUUAUAACUUGUUUUGAAAUUGAAUACUAGUUUUGGAAAUUGAGUAAGUGGAGACUGUAUACUCGUGUUUGAUAUAUGGUUUGAAUUGAUGGCUUAUGACAAUGUGAUGGCAUGAAUGGCUGGAUUUGUGUUUGUGUGGAAUAUAUGAACUGUUUUGUUUUACCUUGACAGGUUGGGUAAUAUCAUACUAGCCAUGUCAUGCUGUUGAAAUUUUUAUUUAUUUGGUGGGGUAAGUGAUUAGCUUACUGCAGUAGGUGGGUUUCUGUGAACUUGCCUAUUAGAGGGGCACGAUAAACCCCAUUGUCUUUUACCUUAGUCUGAAAGGCGCGGAGGGUAUCUCCUAAGGUAGUUUAGAGUUUACUUCACGUCGAACCACCACGUAAGGGUGAACUCAGCCAACGCCAAGGAACGGCUACGUUUUUAAACGUAAAAACAUAUUUUAUGUGUAUAUGUUAAUUUAACAGCCUUGGCGGACUCUGUUGGAUGCCUAGCGUAAAGUGUCACCGAGUACAAGUUUUGGCACAAGCCAAGUUUUAAGAGAGUCAUAAGCCUUGCUAAUUAUUUUUGAUGAAAUGUAAUUGUUUUAUAUGGUUGAAAUGAGUUUUAAUGUUAUGAAUCAUAUUAUGAAGAAAUGUUUUAAUUGUCUCCAUUUACUAGGCUUUAGAUGUUAUAGAUGAACUUUGCUUACUCACUGGGUUUAUAAAAACCCAACCCCUUUUUUUCACCCAUUUCAAGUUCAGAGCAGUCUGUAGACAGUCGAUUUUGUUGGGGGUUUGCUUUCAGAUAUACACCAUUAGAAAUCGUAGGUCUACAGUCCUGUUUAUUUUUUUUAUUUCGGGGCUCACAUGUCAUUGUAAAAUAUUUUUGUAUACCCUGGCGUUGUGUGCUAUUAUGUAUAUGAAUUUAUUUUGUUAUUACGCUACAGUAAUUGUUUAUGUAGAAUUUUAUAAAUAUUGUUUUAUAUGAAAAUGGAAUAUUUUAUAUAAUAUUUUUAUUUAGUUCUAUUAGUUAUAAAUUCACUUUAAAUGGAUGAUUUAGAUACCUGAAUUUAUUUUUAGAUAUGAAAUGUAUAUUUUUUAUUUAUAUAUUAUAUUUUUAGCAAGUUUCAAAAUUUUUAGAUAAAAUGAUCAAAAUACCCCUGUACGGUAGAAAUUACUUUUUGAUUGUCUUUGAUUUGAAAAUAGUCUAUAUUCCUUUAAAACACGAUAUUUAGUAACUGUUGCUCACAAGGGAGGUAGAAAACUGAUGCUAGGGCCUUGCGAGGUUUCAGUUGACAUUCCAAAUAAGGUAUGUCUAUUGAGACAUUGCGGCAAUUGUCAUGAGCUCGAAGAGAAUACUAGGUCGUGACAAUAUUAACCUCUAAAACCAUAGUCACAAACUUGUUGUUCACACCUUGUGUCUUUUUUUUUUCAAAAGUUUACAUUCCGCCUUGAAGUGUCCAAGUUUGUUACAAUGGAAACAUAGCCCUUUUUGUUCCUUUUGAUUUUAUGACUUUUGUCAUUCAUUCCAAUGGAAUGAUCUCUUUUGUUGCACGAGACCAGCUUGUUUGAUGAUUUGUAUUCCAUCACAUGGACCUUCAAAGUCUCAAGAUUCUUUCCAUUAGAAUCCUUUUCUUUUUCAUUUUGCUUGACUUCUUGUUUUCAAUAAUCUUCUUCUAUUUGAAGAUGAUUUCCAAGGUCCUCAAGAGACAUUUCCUCUUUUUUAUGUCUCUCCACGAAAGGGAAGCUUAUCAAUUAUAGAAGAUAUCACAAUAGCUUCAACCAUUUUAAGUUCAUAUUGCUUAAAGCUGUUUAGAAUGUGUUCACGCUGAUGUAAUUGCUCCAUAAUAGGACAAUUAUCAACCAUUUUGCAGUUAUUGAAACGACUAACUAGAAAUUUCUCGUUACUUGCAUCUUCGGCCAUGUAUCUUCCUUCCAAUUUGUCCCAAAGUUGUUUUCACUCGUUUCAUUCUGGUACGCGUCAAACAAUGCAUCUGACAUUCCAUUAAGAAUGUGUCCCAUGCAUAUGUAGUUAUUAGUAUCCCAUUUUUGCCUCAAACGAGUUUGCUUCACGGAUUCUUCAUCAUCUUUUUCAUCCACCAUUUGGUGUAUCUAAAACAUAAGCGACCUUGAGAGUGGUAAGGAGGAAACACAUCUUUUUCUACCAUCAAAUAAAGUUUUCUCCUUCAAAGCAGUCUAACUUGAUAAUGUUGGUAGCCAUCUUUUUAAGUGAAGCCAUUUUAAAUUCCAAUAACAUGAAAAAUAUGUUUUAAAAUUGUCGAUGCAAAUGGGUUUAGAUGGAAUUCAAAGAAUUGGCAAAAUUGACUUCAAGGUGAGCUUUUCAAUAAACGUUAUCUUUAACACUUAUUUUGCCCCUACCACUCGGUAAGCAAAGGGGAAUAAUGUAACUAACCUUAAGGAUACAUUGAAGCCAACGUCUAACUUUGUCUUGCACUUUAUAAGAGUAAACUCUUAGAUACACCCAAGGGCUUACAAAGUUGUUCAGUCUUAAAGCUUACUUUUUACAGUAAGUAGAUUAUAAGGAAUUUGGAUGCUUUUUGUAAUUGAUGGAAAUUUAAGUGUUUAUGUUAAAUUUUAGAGCAUAACGCUUUUCUUGCUUUUAAUUUUUCUACUCUUGUUUUGUUUUUGCUUUCAUGUAUUAAAAUGGUUGGCAACGAGUCCUUUAUGUAGGCUUGCAAAUGUCUUUUCUUAAGGACAUAACCCUUCCCUCAAGGCACCUCUUUGUCUGAAAGACAUUUUCGCAUUUGCAAGACACAACCCUUGGAUAAAUAGAGGUUUCAAUAAUUACCUUUUGAAAUUACAACCAUUCACUUGUAAGACAUGAUAUGAAAAGAUAAUUUUUUAUUUGAAAAGACAUUUUUAUUUUGAAAAUACAACAACAUAAAUUUAUAUCAAAUCGGUUGAUGAUGUAACCAAUUGUGGUGUAUGUGCUAUAAGGGCAAAGAUCAAUAAGUUCAAAGAUUCAGAUUUUUAGUGUGUGAAAUGGAUGGCCAAGUCAAUUACGUGGAACAACUGCUCUUGAUAGCUCAUAGUCAGAUUCACCAUGUUAUUGGCCAUUAGUCAUUACACCACAUUAUCAACUUUGGAGCCAAGGUCAAAAUUAUGUAUGGCAAAAUACCUCGAUAAUUUGGAAAAGAAUCACUCUAUUAAGUAAAUAUCUUUAUAGAUUCAUUUCAAAUUGAUUGCACCUUCCCUUGUGGUGCAUUUUGGUUAAACUAUCCCAUCUUAUAAAUUGACACUAGUGAUUUCAGAAGCCUCAACAUCAUCUGGAACAGCAACAGCAAAUAGCCUAAGACAACAAGGAAAAAGCUUCUUUCAGC
rnacentral:lncRNA from 1 species